rnacentral:lncRNA from 1 species
AAGUUCAAGUAGUACUUUUUGAAGUUAGGAACUACAAAGAAUUAUAUAGACUGACACAAACAUAUAUGCAUAUUCAUCAAAUGAUGUUCACAUACCAAACAGAAAAUAAUCAAGGCUUUUGUUAGGCACAUAUUCAUAAACAAGUAAGGUUUCUUCUCCUUCCAAGCAAAAUCCUAAAAGCCUGACAAGAUUUCUGUGUUGAAGCUUGGCUACCAACACAACCUCAUUCUUAAAUUCUUCUACACCUUGUCCAGAGCUUUUUGACAACCUCUUUACUGGUAUUUCUUGGCCAUCGCUUAGCAUUCCCUGUGAUAAGGUAUAUAGGUGCUUUAGUUUAUCCAACAAUUUUGUUAUGAUCUAAGCAAUUUAUAUAUACUAUACAAAGUUGUACUAGUAGAAUGACUCAUGAACUAAUGCAUUAUAUAUUUGUUGGGUUAUUACCUUAAAAACUGCACCGAAUCCACCUUCGCCUAACUUGUUAUCUUCGGAAAACUUAUUUGUGGCAGUUUCGAGAGUUCCCAAAUCAAAUUGCAAGGACUCAGCCGUCCUCAUAUCUUUUGCAUUGCAAAGAAAGUUAUGAUCAUAUGCCAGACACAUCAAAAUAAAUUCAAAAUUUUCAGUUCUAACUUUUGGGUUUCAUUUGUUUUCCCUUACCUUGCUGUUUGCCAUUUUCUUGUUGUAGAGCCUCAUCGUUCUUCUUUGUUUCUCUUCUGCCUGGGAGGCAGUAGCCCAAUGCUACAAGGACCAGAGAGACAACUAGAAGAGCAAUUACAACACUCACAACAACAAUGAUAGUUAUAGAGGAGUGUUUCUUUCUUCCUGCAGUAAGAACAGUUUGAGUUUUCUUGUCAUAAAGCUCUUUGUGUACUUUUAAACUCACAAUUUCCAUUGAUUGAUUUAAUUAGUUGAACAUGGAAAAAAUACAAAUGAUAGUUUUAUCAAACCUUUCUUCCACAUUCAUCAAAACAAAAACAAUUAAUAUCUCAUGUUCAUUUCCGGAAUACUGUUUCUUCCCCUUUAAAAUGUACUUGUUCUUAUCCACUUAAUAUCUAUCCAAUGGCCGAUAAGAUCGUAGUUCCUACAUAUAUCUAAAUCUUGAUUUAAAAUAUAAAAAACGAAUUAACAGGAGAACUCCUAUUAGUAAUCUAAUCAUUAAACAGUUUUUCCCUCAUAUUCGUUGUAGUCUUGUAGAGAGAAGAGUGCAUACAUGAUGACUUUUUUACGUGCACAGGGUACCUUACCUAUAGGUAAUCGCGAAUUUGGUAGUAGAGUACUAGGAGGAGGAAGAGCCUCUGGUGUGGGAGGAUGCUGUGCGUCGGUCCGAUUGAUGGCGUAAAAGAGGGUAGUAUCGAUCCAAACGGUACAACUGGGAUAUUGCAAUCGUCCCAAUUGGGUUCCAAAUGAAACUAAUUGUUCUGCAGCUUUUUCCAGACAACGUUUGCAAUCUGAAGCAGAGAGAUCCUGCGUGCACUGCACAAGGCUGUACAGCGUCUCAUUUGACCCUUCAACUUUGGCUUCUUUGGUUGCAAAGUACUUGCUGUUAUUGGCAGCCUCAGUGGUUAGUUCACUCAUAUUCAGGGUAAAUCCUCUUGGUUCUGUAACAUUAACCUCGUCCAACACGCCCGUUGCGAGCGAAAUGUUCAUCGAGAAAAGUAAUGUCUCAUUCGAGUAGCGUAGCAUGCACUCGUCGAACCAUAUGGUAACCUCUUUUAUAUCAGGGCAGCGUUGUGCUGCCUCCACGAUUGCAUCGGGCACGCACUCUUUGCAAACCUCGGUAGAGACAUCACCGCGACAUAGAAACAUCCCAUAUGCCUUUUCAGUUGAGUUUCGGCCAGCGGUGGCAGUGUAAAAUCCGGUGUCAGUACGUGUGGCGUUCGAGGAAAGGGAUUUGAGAAGUUGACCGAGAUUAUAUUGGAAGCUGUCGGGGUCGGAUUCGAAUACUUCGGCCGGGGUGAAAGUGGUAGUGUUUGGGCAGAGAUGGCUGAAGUAACGAACUGCUUCACUUCUAGCGAUCAAACUCAUGAGAAACAGAAAAGGGAUCGUAGACAUAUUCCUCAUCAUCUCCCCCUCGCUCUUAAUCACAAAUGUUGAUCAUAUAUUCCUAGGUUUAACAAUUAGUGAUUGUUUGAGGUAAUUAGAUGGCAAUUGCAAAUUCGCAAGCAUGGCUUGUUGACCCUUGGGUCAACCAUACCGUGUGACUCAUGAGAAAACAAUUACUAAAUUGCAGCUUCUUAGAAAUUGAUUCAUUGGAAACUUUAACAUGAUUUGAGUGAUAAAAUUAAUUAGUACCUUUAGGUGGACGAGAACCAGGUGCUCUUGGUGCAGGCGCCGGCAAUGAUGUGACGUUUUGGAGGAGUUGAAUAUUCUUGAACCGAGUAAAUUGUAGUUAUAGUCUCUUAAUUUUAAUUCAAUUAGAGCAAUGAUCCAUUAACUCAAAAUCCAUUACCAUUGAUCUCUCAAUUCAUCAAAACGUGCAGCUAUGAUCUCUCAACUAAAAAUUCAUUACUAUUGGUCUCUCAACUUUAAUUCAACUGGAGAAAUGACCUCUUAGUUUUAACCCAAUUGUAGCAAUGAUCCUUCUAACAUAACUCGUUUUUACAAAAAUUUUGCCAUAGUUGACAAAAAAUGACCAUAAUUACACACUUUGAUGAGUUGAAGGACCCUAAUUAUAUAAAUGGUUAUUCCAACAUAACUUAUUUUGACAAAAUUUUGAUGAAAUUGAUGAAAAUAAUUAUAGCUACACAUUUUGAUAAGUUGAAUGACCAAUAUAAUGAAUUUUUAAUUAAAGGAUUAUUGUUACAAUUUACUCUUUUUGCAUCCAUCUUUGCCUGUGCCCCUCUGUGCCCUUGCUUAAUUGAGUGACACCUGUCUUUUUAGUAACCACAACCAACACUGUUAACUUGCCAAUAUUUAAAAUAAUAAAAAAUAAACCAAAUAUUCAAGAAAAAAAAUUAAGAAAACAACCCUAGCACCCUAAAUUAUUUUACUAACCACAACCAACUCUGUUCAUAAAUUAUUUUCGACGCCAUGCCCAAUUUUCUCUGCUCUUUUCCCCUUUCUCAAUUCUCUUUCCAUGUUCUGCAAUUCCUGCGAUUCAUGACUGUUAGGUUGGUUUUAAGUCGACCUCUUCUCUGGUCAUUGCCGGCGAGAUUGUCCGUAGCUUUCACAUCGAAAUUUUUAUCGGUGAGUUUAUGAACAGAGACACUGCAAAAUUAAAUCCCUACCUCUCGCACUCCCCCCGUCGCUCUGUAAUCUGUAUGCAUUAGGUUUCAAAAUAGCAGGCCAUAGCUUCGGACUGCUGCGACAUCAACCUCGGCGGCCGACUGGUACCGCGAAAUGUACUAUUUUGGAACCGAAUGAAGGAAAAUGAGUAAACAUCAACACUUUUGUUUGAUUUGGCGGUGAGGGGUUCGAUCGACGAUUCGAUAUCGAAUCUGAAUCCUAAAUAUGGUGCGGCAAUUUGAGAGAGUGGGAAACGGCCUGUUCGGCAGCGAUGUGGAGGAGAAGAAGUACGGCGGCGGGUAUGGUGGCUGACUGAUGUGGUCGAGUGGUGGCUGUCGUCUGGGUUGGGGAUGAAAGUGGCUGAUAGGUAUUUUUUAAAAUUUUUCUUGAAUAUUUUGUUUAUUAUUUUUUUGUUAUUUUAGAUAUUGUCAAUUUAACAGUGUUAGCUCUAGUUAGUAGAAGGACAGGUGUCAUUCAAUUAAGCAAGGCACAAAGGGGAAUGGUGCAGAAAAUUUCAACUCUCCUCCUCCGCCUAAAGGUACUGUUUGAUUAUCUAAUUCAAAUCAUGUUUAAAUUACAAACAUUAAAUUUUGGCUGAUGUUAUUAGCAUUUCAAAAUGGUUAUUGUUCACUCCUCUUCGCAUGAUAAUUGUGUUGAAAUAAUAUCUGGCAAAUGUUUUGGUGCACCUUGAACACGACCAUUUAGUAUUAUUAUUUUAUUUAUUUAUUAAUACAUUUUAAAACUGAGACAUAUCAACCAUAUUUUGUACUGAUAUAUACCUAUUUAAUUUGGGUAAUACUAGAGAGAAUAAAUUUGUAGAUAAAAUUUACAAACUAAAUGAUAUGUUAGCAAUAGAAAAUGAGCACGUGUAUCAAUGCUUAAGUAAUAAUCUAAUCAUCAACUUCUAUGUCAUUUAAUUUACAAAAUUUAAUAUUCCCAUCAUUACUCAUUUAAUUUACCUCCAAAAUGAGUUGAAAUUUUCUGCACCAUUUUCGCCUGUGACCCCUUUGUGCCUUGCUUAAUUGAACGACACCUGUCCUUCUACUAACUAGAACUAACACUGUUAAGGCACAUAUUAAGGAAGGAGGAUUCUCUACCUCUUAUUCUCAUCUCUUUCCAUCUCCUCCUUUCACACAUUACUUUUUGUUUUAUUAUUUCUAUAAAAAAAUCAAUAUAAAAUGUUGACGUGACUUAACCGUGACCGUUUAAAUAGGAAGAGAUAGAAGGAUAGAGAGAUUAGGAAGGUAGAGAAUCUUGGUCCCAUAUUAAGGCCAUAAACUCUAUCUGGUCCAUUUCCAGCGGAAGUGUUGUACAGCUUGGAAACAGAAAGAUUUGAAGGCAAUGAAUUGAGCAGGCUGUGGAGGUUUUUGAAACGUACUAUUUUCGACUUAGACAUCAUAAACCAUCAAAUAAUAGUAACAUAUGCUUUGGAUUUUGUGGGUUUUUAUUUAUUUAUGUACGUUACAUAUGAGAUUAGCAUGUCUCAUAGGUUACACAACUAGAAUUAAACUUCAUUGCCUAGCCUGCUCUCCAUAUGUAUGUAUGCCUAAUUUUCGGACAUAUUGAAUUGAAAUUAUGAGUUUCAUUUUCAUUCAAUUCCGUCAUAAAAAUAAAAAAAUCAAAAAUCAAAAUCAAAAUCAAAACUUCAACAUCCAUNNNNNNNNNNNNNNNNNNNNNNNNNNNNNNNNNNNNNNNNNNNNNNNNNNNNNNNNNNNNNNNNNNNNNNNNNNNNNNNNUUUCCCAAAAAAACAAAAAACAAAAAACAAAAUGUGUAUAUAUAGAUAUAUAUAGGCUUGGACUUUCAAGCCCAAGACACAAUGUUGGUCCAACGCAAAUCUGGGCGGACGAAAAUACCCUCCAUUAUAAAAUUAAAAUCCCUUCCGGUCAAACACGGUGGAUACUCGGUUUCAAAUACAAACGGGCAACAUUGCGCGCUUUCCCGCCUCGGACCUCAGUUAAUGGCAAUCGCUCCUAGAAGACUUGCGGCUGCAUUCCGCAACUCGCCACAUCUCCAAUGCGUCCGAAGCUUGUCUCCGUUGCGCUUUGGAAAUAGUUACAGUUCCUUCGUGCCUUCGGUUUCGUCUGGUAUGCCCCGAACCUGCUUGUGAAAAUGUCUCUUAGACAACACCUAUUUUGUCAUUAACUGCCAUUUCUGCACUUGCUCUGUAUUUCAAGAUCAGAGGACUCUGCUCCAACUGGUCAUCCGGAAUUCCGACAAUAGAGAGAGAACGAGAGGGAGUGAGAUGUAGCUGAGCUGAGCUGUUGAAGACAUACUAGUUAUUAAAAUUCUUUUCAUUAUUUAUCCUAGUAUUAAUUAAAGUUUGUAGCAAUGGUUCUUUUGAGUAAACACUGUUUUAUAAUACCCUCCAAAAUAAAGGGCUUAAAGGGGAAAAUAUGAACGGAAUUAUUCUCUAAAAUAAAGGGUUAAAGAGGAAAAUAUGAACGGAAUUAACGGAGUUAUAAAAAAGGAUCAUUGUUACAGAUUGUAACAAGUUCUAGGAUCAAUAUUCGAAUUAACUUGAAACAUAUAAGUAUGUAAAAUAACACCACUCAAAUCAUACUGGCAGUGUAUAUACAGUAUAUGUUAUUAAAAAUUCUGGAGAUUCGAGAUUAGGGAGUGCAUGGUAACUAACAUCUACCCUAUACAAGUAGCAAGGUGAAAGAAAAGCUGUAAAGAUUAUAGAAUUGUCUCGAAUGCAGUAAAGUGCCUUUAACGGAAGAGCUUCCAAUGAUAUUAACCUUAUUGGCAUCGGUCUCAACGAGGAACAUCGAUAGAAAUCGUCAAACCAUUGGCUGAGCAAUCUUGAGCACGCACUUGAUCAUGGUGAUCAACAUAUCUCCCUGUAAAGAAGGCUGGUUUCUCAGGUCUGGAAAGACUAAUAGUUUCAGUUUUUAACAUAUGAACGACUGAUGACAUGGUCGGCCUGUUGUUGCAUCCUCUUGAACACACAAUAAUCCAAUGUGGAUAUUCCUCAAAAAUUCAUUUGGACUGCAUGAAUCUUUUAACAAGGGAUCCAUCAACUCCAAACCUUUCGUUUCAUUCCAUAAUUGCCAAGCCUGCAAUCAAUAUCUCUCAAGGAUGUAAAUCCUCCUCCAGUUUUGAUAGCUACACUAAUUAAGCUCACGAAUAUUUUGUACAAGUAUUCCAAGUAAAGAACUUACAUAACCUAUAAGAGUAGGUCCACAAUUAGUGUGAUGAAAGCCUAAAAAGUUCCUUCUCCCCGUUAUGAUCUCAAGCAGAAGUACUCCGAAGCUGAAGACAUCCGAUUUUACUGAAUACAACCCUUCCAUAGCAUAUUCUGGAGCCAUGUAACCACUAAUUGCAGGACCAAAAUGGUUGACAUAUAUAAGAGUUUAAAUAACAAACAUAUACUAUUCUGUUAUCUAUUUAUAGAUAGAGGUAAGUACAUAAGUUGAAACAAAUUAUUGGAAUGUAAGAUUACUAGUAUUGGAUAGAGAGGUAUUUGUAUAAGUUGAAACUUACUAAGUGCCAACAAUUCUUUUGGUAUUUCCUUCAGUUUGAUCAUCAACUCCAAACAUUCUAGCCAUCCCAAAAUCUGAUAUUUUCGGGUUCAUGUUGCUGUCUAAUAAAAUGUUGCUAGCUUUCAAAUCACGAUGUAUAACUCUAAGCCUCGAAUCUUCAUGAAGAUACAAAAUUCCUCGAGCAAUUCCUCCAAUUAUCAUGGUGCGGCUCAACCAAUCUAGUUGUUCUCGUUUUUUAUGUUCUGUAAAUUUAUCAAGUUCAAGUAGUACAUUUUGAAGUUAGGAACUACAAAGAAUUAUAUUUACUGACACAAACACAUGUCUAUUCAUCAAACGAUGUUCACAUACCAAAUAGAAAAUAAUCAAGGCUUUUGUUGGCCACAUUUUCAUAAACAAGUAAGGUUUCUUCUCCUUCCAAGCAAAAUCCUAAAAGCCUGACAAGAUUUCUGUGUUGAAGCUUGGCUACCAAUACAACCU